rnacentral:lncRNA from 1 species
UACUCACGGUCCAUGCUCUGCUGCUGGAGAGGGGUUUUGUACUGGGAAAGCUUAUUUUAUUUUUCCGAAUGAAAAUAAGCUGCCCAGUAUGCCCAUGUACCCGUCAGUAAAACACUUGCUUUGGUAGGGAAUUUAGUACUGAAAAGUAGGGGGUUUAUUUUGUUUUAGCGUGGAUGAGUCUCCAAUGACUUAAUAGUCACAACAAUGUCAGUAUUACAGCCGAAAGGUCUUAAUUGGAUAGAUGUUGAGGCAAAAAAUACACUGAUAUUCCUGUGCUGGCACAUAUCUGCAGCUGGGAAAGAGCAGAGGAACACCACUGUGCAGGUGUUAGCAGAAAAUUUGGGAAGAUCUGUUCUGGUGAAAUAUGGGAUUCAAGUUGAGGAUUGAUUCAUCAGUGGUGCUGUUAACACUGUCAGAAUGGCUCACUCACUCUCCACCCGGCUGGUGUGGCCUCAAAGGCUGCCCCUGCUGAGGGCAGAGUGUGUGAAGCCUCUGCUGAGCAGGCGCUGGCAUCCCCCCAGAACUCCUUCUCACGGCAGGGACGGAGACGGACCCAGCCCAGCACAUGGAAAUGGAUCUCUCCAGCUGAGCGCUCAGGGAGUGCUGAAGCUACCAGGGAGCGUGCUCAGCACGACCCAGGCGACCCUCACAUCUCCAGGGCUAGUGAUUCUUGCACCUUCAGAGCCACAGUAUCAGCCAGCUUUUUUUUUCCCCAGGCUUUCAAUCACCUCUCAAGCAGACGAAUACUCCCCUUGGAAGCUGCUGUGCCCUGUGAGCCUGAGAGCCUGGCAGGCACAACCCGGGAGCAGCAGGGAGAGGUGGGUUCGUCGUGGAGGAUCCAGGAGCUCGGUGUGCGUGUCUGAGCCUGCAGUUCCAAGGUGCAGCAGGACCCAAGGUCUGCACACACCCAUGUACAGCACUUGUAAACAGCGUUAACGUAAAGAUAACGCGUGCAGGGAGUGUGCCGUGGGUUACCACAAGCGAUGAAGGAUUUUGGGACGGUGCCAAGGCAGUUUCCCCCUCAACGCACUGGUUUUUUUCUGGAAGAAUUAUGCGAGAGCGGAAAAGUUGCAAUGGCAUUGCAGUUCCCUGCUCAGAAAAUGCCCAGGGAGGUGAAGCAUGGCCAAGCGGUGCCAUUGAACUGUACCACAGCUGGGAGCAUCAGGUAAGUGACGAGGACUGAGCCGCAUCCCCCCUUAGCAAACACAGCAGUAAUGUCAAGCAGGAUCACCCUUUUCCAGACCACUGGCAUGUGCUUGGGGAUAAAAGCCUGUGUUUUUCACAGCCAGGUCUUCUGAGCCACAGCAGCCCCUGCUCUGGGGUGGCCACUGCUCACUGAUCACAGUGAAAACAAACUUGUGUACAGGCGCUCUGCAAAAUUCCCACCUUAGAUGCCACUGAAGCGCAGCUUUGGCUUUCAGGCAUCUCCCCUGCAAGCUGUCCCUUGUGUCGUUUCCGCAGGGGAUUCAUUGUUAAUUAAUUACUUCAACUUUUUUUAUUUUAAUUUCCAAAGAAUAGAAGUUGACUUUUACAGCUUUUUCAAGCUUUAUACCACACCUAAAUGCUCCUUUUGACUGCCUGAAGGUCUUUUCUGACCUGAACAAUUCUAUGACUUUGGUCCGUGCUUCAGCUUAAGGGAAAAGCUGCACGUUGAUUGGGUUUUGGAGUAAAAGAUUUGAACGUCCAGCUGUGAAUUUAUCUUGUGUUUUGUCUUCCAGGUUCAUUCCUGUUGUAAUCCUCAAAUGGCAAAACAGCGUUGCUCUUUAUUAAAAACAAUUUUGCUCUCAGAAUGUUGAUGGAGGUGAUGAUUGCAGGGGCGACGAUUGUGAAGAAUAACUCCCUCAUCUUCCCCAGGGCCUGGGCAGAGAGAGGUGGAGCUCGGAGUCCCCCCGACUCCUCCCGCGGGCGUUGGCGUCUGCAGCGCCAUCGGGACGGGAUCCACGUCCCGGCUCCUUCCUCCAGAGGCCGAAAGCUCAGCCGACAGUUUCAUGCAGGAUAGUCACCUUUCCAAGGCAAUAGAAGCACUUGCCAAGAGCGGCUGGUGAAGAUGGCUCAGAAGCAAUGGCAGGAGUGCAGUGAAAAGUCUGGUCCAUCGAUCCGGCUUCCGGACACGGUAGGGAAGACACACCUUUUGAUAAAACACCAAACACAGUAGUUUUCAUUCUUUGUGUUUUUCUGUGCUCCCAUUCGGAUUACCCCUGGAAGUACUAUUUUUGCAAAAGUUAUCUAGGAGAGAAAUCAUAACUUGCUUUGCAUCCUUCUGCCUGGAAGGGUUGUGACACAGGGGAGGAAGGGGCUGGCCGGGGCCAGCCUUUGCUGAGCCUCAGCUCUGGCUGCUGCUCCUGCUUCCAGGGUAAACCCAAAAGCUGUCAUGAUCAAAAAAGCAGGCAGCCCUUCUGUCCUGAGUCACAGGGGCCAUUUCUUCCUAAGUGACUCAAGAUGGGAAAUCAUUCUUGGAGCUUCAGAAGAAAAAAAAGAAAAAACAUACAUACCUUGAUAAAUGUGUCUAUAUACACACACAUUUCCUUCCAUGAAGAAGAAACUCUUAGAAAUAUCAUGUCGUGUCUGGCUUCCUAGAGAGGAUCCUUAACUCUGGGCUUCUGAAAUCAAAUGUCUGUGCGUUUAUAGACCAUUUCCCUUCUUUUUGUGUGCCUCCCACAGCGAUCUUCUCCCCUGCUCCAUGGCAAGAAGAGUUUGGUGACUUUGCUGCUCUGCUCUCUCAGGGGUGUUGCAGGCUGUGUAGCAGGGAGUGAAGCCUUUGUCGCUGCCCAUCAGACAUUUUCCUACAGAAUUCUCCCUGCAGUGAUAAAAGUAGACUUGUGUUAGUGAGCUGCCAAGUAGAGCAGGUAACAUGGGACAGGAACUGUUUCUGAGCUGCUGUUCACUAGCACGUGUUUCCCCUUUCCAGCAGAGCGCUGCCGCCCAAGAAGGGAUUUUUGUGGGUCAGCCAGAUGUGCUCCUGCCUCCCACUGAGGCUCUGAGCUGGAGCUGAGUUUGCGUUCCAGUUCAUUGGAACAGAGGGCAUCAGAAGUUUCCUCAGCUAUCUGAGGCACAGAGCCAUGGAACCAGUAAGCCUGAGCUGCUGCGUGCUUGCUGUGAGCCUUGAGGUGAGUGUGCAUCAUUGCAGGCUUGGAACUUAUUGAAAUGCACUAAGGAAACCAGCUCUGGGGAGGGAGGGAGGGAGGGAAAGUCCUUUCUUGACAUGUGCCAAUUAAUCUGUGAAACUCAUCCCGGCAGGACAGCGUGAAGACUGAAAGUGUAAGAAGAUGUGGGGUGCAAUGGAGAAUGUGGCAGGAGCAUCCAACACACGAGUGCACGAGUUUUGCUUUUUGCUUGGAUUGAAACUCAGAAGUUGUAAGGAAUUUGGGAAUGAGAUGGGACAUUUGAGAAGAAGAGGAAGGAGGAGAAGAAGUUGUUGUUACAGUCCUGACAAAAUCUUUUGUUCUAGCUAAUAAAAGAAGUUAGUUAAAAAAAA